rnacentral:rRNA from 1 species
AUUGAACGCUGGCGGCAUGCCUUACACAUGCAAGUCGAACGGCAGCACGGGUGCUUGCACCUGGUGGCGAGUGGCGAACGGGUGAGUAAUACAUCGGAACGUACCUUAUCGUGGGGGAUAACGCAGCGAAAGCUGUGCUAAUACCGCAUACGCCCUGAGGGGGAAAGCGGGGGAUCGAAAGACCUCGCGCGAUUAGAGCGGCCGAUGCCUGAUUAGCUUGUUGGUGGGGUAAAAGCCCAUCAAGGCGACGAUCAGUAGCUGGUCUGAGAGGACGAUCAGCGACACUGGGACUGAGACACGGCCCAGACGCGUACGGGAGGCAGCAGUGGGGAAUUUUGGACAAUGGGGGCAACCCUGAUCCAGCAAUGCCGCGUGAGUGAAGAAGGCCUUCGGGUUAUAAAGCUCUUUUGUCAGGGAAGAAACACCGGCUCUAACACAGUCCGGGAAUGACGGGACCUGAAGAAUAAGCACCGGCUAACUACGUGCCAGCAGCCGCGGUAA